rnacentral:misc_RNA from 1 species
AGAAACAAAAAUAUAGAACAAGAACAAAGAACAUAUCCAAAAAGGAAAGUAUCGCGUAGAUGUCGCUUAUUGCGUUGCGGCCGCAUAGAGAAAACAAUUGCAGAUCAAAUCAAAUCGAGUGAUCAGUGAAUAGUGAUAAAUAUUGCCAUAUAUACCUAUAUACAUAUAUACAAAGCUAUAUAUGUACAAUAAAAAUAUAAAGUGAAUUGGUAAACAACGAUAAAACUUCAACCGGCGAACCGAAACUUCGAAACACCCAAAGAGAGAGAGAGACAGAAAGAGAGCAACCCUGUAAAUUAAGCUUCCAAAGCAUUUGGGGUACACAACAACUUUGCCAAAGGGGCCCCAAAUUCUAUCCAAUCGCGCUCAGCCGCGAGCUGGUGCAGGCAUAACUACACUAGAGUGCUGCAUUCCUUGCAUUGCGUGCCCUGUGGCACAAGCGUCUGCUUCGAAUAGAAGAUGGCCUAUCGCGGCAUUAUCGGCAACAAUGAUGGUGCUGAUCGCAAUAACCAGGAUAACGAUUCAUUUGAUGACGUACUCACCGGUUCCAGCAAGGAUGUUGUGCCGUCAGUGCAGCAGCGCAACAAGCUACCAAAUGCCAAAGCUCGAAGCAACGCAACAAACAGCCAACGCAGCAUGCCGAUCUCAACGAAAUGCAAUUGCGAUAUGAUCGACUCAGCGGACACUGAUAAGCCAGAGGCCGAAAAUGAGCUAAGUAAUGAAAUUUCGGCACCAUAUGAAGUACCCCAGUUCCCAAUUGAGCAGAUUGAGAAGAAAUUACAAAUACAGCGCCUGCUAAAUGAGAAGCAAUCGACCUGUCAACGCUCGGCUGCGCCCAUUACAGCAUCGCCACGACGCAGCAGCUCGGAUUCGGAUGGUCUGACAGAGCAGGCAGUACCGAAACGUAGAACAGAUGCUGACAUUAAUUUUCAGCGUGUUUCCGUGUCCGGCGAGGAUACGAGCGGCGUGCCACUAGAGGAUCUGGAACGUGCAUCGACGCUACUUAUCGAGGCACUUAAGCUACGUGCCAAAUAUAUGCAAGUGUCGGAUCAAUCGUUCCCCACCACCACAGCACGUUUCCUCAAGACGGUGAGUCUGAAGGAUCGCUAUGAGAAUGUGCCAGUUAAGUCGGUUUCAGACAUAAUUCGCAAACAGAGUAUGGCGAACUAUACAGAGCAUCACACACUGAUGUCGCCCCUAAGAUCGAGACAUGCCUGGGACGUGGAGUUCGUGCCAGAUGAAUCGUAUUUCAUAAAGCCAGUGAAUGGAGUCUUUCACAUCUACAAUGAUAAGGAAUGCACGAGUGAACUGGACUUUUCGUAUCCAGAUAUGAAUCAGUUUGUGAAUGACAUGCAGGUCAUGUGCAAUAUGAUAGCUGAUGGGCCACUGAAAUCAUUUUGUUAUCGUCGCCUUUGCUAUUUGUCGUCCAAGUACCAGAUGCACGUUUUGUUGAAUGAGCUACGCGAAUUGGCCGCCCAGAAGGCUGUACCGCAUCGCGACUUUUACAACACUAGGAAAGUGGACACGCAUAUACAUGCAGCGUCCUGCAUGAAUCAGAAGCAUUUGCUGCGCUUCAUCAAGAAGACGCUGAAGAACAAUGCCAACGAGGUGGUCACCCACACGAACGGCCAGCCGAUGACACUGGCCCAGGUCUUUCAAUCGAUGAAUCUGACCACAUAUGAUCUAACCGUUGAUAUGCUGGAUGUUCAUGCUGAUCGCAAUACGUUCCAUCGCUUUGAUAAAUUCAAUUCCAAAUACAAUCCCAUUGGCGAGUCGCGCCUCAGGGAGGUCUUCCUCAAGACGGAUAAUUAUUUGAAUGGCAAAUACUUUGCACAAAUUAUAAAGGAAGUGGCUUUCGAUUUGGAGGAAUCGAAAUAUCAAAAUGCAGAGCUGCGUCUCUCCAUUUAUGGUAAAUCGCCCGAUGAGUGGAAUAAACUUGCCAAAUGGGCCAUCGAUAAUGAUGUCUAUAGCUCGAACAUACGUUGGUUGAUACAGAUACCGCGUCUAUUCGAUAUCUUCAAGUCGAACAAGAUGAUGACGUCAUUCCAGGAGAUAAUGAAUAACAUAUUUCUGCCGCUAUUCGAGGCGACCAACAAGCCAAGUGAAAAUGCUAAUUUACAUCGCUUCUUGACUUACGUGAUUGGUUUCGAUUCCGUGGAUGAUGAGUCCAAGCCAGAGAAUCCGCUAUUCGAUAGCGACGUGCCCCGGCCGGAGGAAUGGACGUACGAGGAUAAUCCACCGUAUGCUUACUACAUAUACUACAUGUUCGCCAAUAUGACGGUGCUAAACAAAUUUAGAAAGCAGCGCGGUCUGAACACAUUCGUGCUACGUCCUCAUUGCGGCGAGGCUGGACCUGUGCAGCAUCUCGUCUGUGGCUAUCUGAUGGCUGAGAACAUUUCGCACGGCCUGCUGCUGCGCAAGGUGCCGGUGCUGCAGUACCUCUACUACUUGACCCAAAUUGGCAUUGCUAUGUCGCCACUGUCGAACAAUUCGCUGUUUCUCAACUACCAUCGCAAUCCACUGCCAGAAUAUUUGGCUCGUGGACUGAUUAUCUCACUGUCCACCGAUGAUCCGUUGCAGUUUCACUUCACCAAGGAACCCCUCAUGGAGGAGUACAGCAUUGCAGCGCAGGUGUGGAAGCUCAGCUCCUGCGACAUGUGCGAGCUGGCACGCAAUAGCGUUAUUAUGAGCGGAUUUCCACAUAACAUCAAGCAACAGUGGCUGGGACCCAACUACUAUGAGGAUGGUAUCAAUGGCAACGACAUAACACGCACCAAUGUUCCAGAAAUUCGCGUCGCCUAUCGCUAUGAGACUUUGCUGGAUGAACUCUCCAACAUAUUUAAAGUGAAUCAAACCUGUCAUCAGAAGGACUCAGAUGAUAAAUGAUAGAUUCGAUAUAAAAUGCAAACCAUAUAUACUUGCUAUUAUUAUUAUAUACAUUAACAUUAACAUUAGUUAUACCAAAAUUCUACAAACUUAUAUACAGGGCAUUAGCUGGCAUUAGCAACGGUAACUUCGAUUUCCAGCGAGUGCAUCGAGUAAUCUUAGCAAAUGUGUUUAACGUGUACUUUUAUCCGUUGUAGGUAGAUUCUUAUUAUUAUUUUUUUUUUUUUCUUUUCUGAGCUGGUGCUGGUGUUGCCGCUGCAUUGCAAUUAAACUAGACAACAUUAUAUUUCAAAAACAAAAAACAAAAAAUCAAACAAAAAAAAUCUCCAAAGUGUAAACUCUAAAUAAAGCAAAACUGCAGAAUUUUAAAUAUUUGAUCAUUUAUUUAGCAAUUCAAAUUUAAAGGCCGCAAAUCUUGCGGCUAAUUUGAAAUCCACUCGGGCCAUCUUAAAUACAAUUGUUUUUAUUCUGCGAUGCUUGUGUUGCCGCUGUAUUUCAAUUAAGUUAGGCUAAAAUAAUAUUUGAAACAAUAAAUGUAUCUGAUGUGUA